UGACGCAGCGACGCCGCGUGGAGGAAGAAGGUUUUCGGAUUGUAAACUCCUGUCAGCGAGGAAGAUAAUGACUGUACUCAACAAGGAAGCCACGGCUAACUACGUGCCAGCAGCCGCGGUAAAACGUAGGGCACAAGCGUUGUCCGGAAUUACUGGGUGUAAAGGGAGCGCAGGCGGGACGACAAGUUGGAAGUGAAAGGCAUGGGCUCAACCCAUGAACUGCUUUCAAAACUGACUGGCUCGAGUAGCGCAGAGGUAGGCGGAAUUCCUGGUGUAGCGGUGAAAUGCGUAGAUAUUGGGAGGAACACCAGUGGCGAAGGCGGCCUACUGGACACCAACUGACGCUGAGGCUCGAAAGCGUGGGUAGCAAACAGGAUUAGAUACCCUGGUAGUCCACACCGUAAACGAUGAAUACUAGGUGUUGGAGGA
rnacentral:rRNA from 1 species